CCCGACUCUCUGACCUAGUUCUCCAGGGAAAGAGAUUCCGUGGCUUUUCUGGAGUUGAAGGGUCCACACCCCAUCCCCACCCGACUCCGGGGAAUAACACGGUCCACGAGCCUGUCACCUUCUCCACUUGCGCGGUAGAUUAUUCCCGGUUGCAAGACUUGCGGUUUCCUUGUUUGAAGCUGACGAUGAGUCCAGCCUUGGAGACUCUCCAGACGGAGCCAGAGUUGGAGCAGGAAGCGGGCCCAAGGCAGAAACGCAGUCUCGAUUACUCCAAGACAUCCUGCCUUAUGCAUUUCAAGGCCGACUACUUGUUCUACAAGAGGUUUGGGAGCUUGGAAAUGGUGGUGGCUCAGGUGAGAGAGAACUGGGUGGUUCCCAAGAGAAUGUCAGGGGCGGAAAGGGGGGGUCUCUUUGGCCCAGCCACCCAAUCAGGGUCAGCGUUCCCCGCUUCCGAAUGAUUGGGGCGAGGGGGGCGGUCACACCUGCAGGAAUCUGUACUCUGAACCUUAACACCCAGAGGGAAGCUGGGCGACUAGAAGCGAAAUAGAUUCGGACAGAUCCACGAACGAGCGGUCCCUAAGGGGUCACCAGAGAGGUAAGCGGGGG
rnacentral:lncRNA from 1 species